CACACGCAUACACGCAACACUCACACGCUACACACACACACACACACCCACUAAGCUUCUAAUUCAACUUGUAUUUGCCCACCUUGUUGUUGUUGUUGUUCGUUUUUGGCUUUUAACUCGCUCGCGCCGAUCGAAACUGCCAUUGUAAUUGUUAUCGUAUCAAAACUACAGCUUUGCUCCCAUUUUUGAUAUCAAUGUUUUUGAUAAAGUAAAAGUUACCUUACUAAUUUUUGAACUUUUUGCUUUAGAAAACAUUUUUAAAUGUAGUUUACACCUUCAUAUUUGUACGCAUAAACCCCGAAAUUCGGUAUUAUACCGAUUUCCAAAUUUUGUUAAAGCUUACUUUAAAAUUACACAUGGUUGACAUCACUUCUGAAGUAUGCUACAAUAUAUUUUUAAAUUUAAAUAAAUAUUUAAAUAAAUAGAUAAAUGCAGAUGAUAGAUAUCUUUAAAAAAUUCAGAGAUUCUUGAAAACCAGAAGAUUUUAAAACAGUCGAUUUGUGAAUUUAAAAAUGGGAACAAGGUCAAGUGUCAUCGCUGCAAAUGUGGGCCCAACCCAAACCACCCCACCCUACCCAUUCGCUCUGUCUCUUUCGAACUGCAUCUGAUCUCAGCUCUGGCACCACACCACACCCUUCCCCCGCGCUCUCACUGGCGUUCUCUCCUCAUUAGCCCCUCUCGCUUGUUCUUUCCAUCGCCGUCUCUUUCCAUCGCAUUAACCUCGCUAGUCUAAUUUUCGUGUUGUUGGUUUUUAAUUAAACGUUAAUCGCUCGCCUAGCUAAUCGCUCCCUCUCGCUCGCUCCCCUCACUGUGAAUUUGGCAAGUUUGCUCUCUCGCUGCCGUCCAUACACACCAUACAGCUUACAUACACAUUCACAUACACACACACACACAUCCUCAUAUGGUCACACCUUUAAGUUGAGCUUAAGUUGUUUGCCUGAACUUUUUCAUCAUUGCCGCUCUUUCUUUGUCUAUUGUGCUUUACUUUCUCUUGAUUUCAUUUGUUGCCAUGUCCCGGGUCCUCUGUGAACCGUGUAGCUAUCUCUGGUUUUGUUUUCCUUUACAUUUCUUUGACUUUCUUUGCUCUCCCUUCCGCCGUUUGUUCGUUCCUUUUGUCUCUUUGGUUCUUCAUUUUUUUGAACGCUUUGGUUGUUUACUCUGAUUGUUGAACACACAGAUGGCAGGUGCAUCGAUUCCGAUUUCAAUUUUAAUUCCGAUUCCAUUUCAAUUCGUUUCGAUUCUAUUCGAUCGAAUUCGAAUUUGAUUGGCAGCCAGUUUGCAAUGACGCAUAAGUUUACAAUUGGCAGCGUUUGGCUUACGAGCUGAUUAUAAUCAAUCAGACUGCCAGAUAAGGCGGAAAAACAACACGUGACGAGUUGCUGAUUCUCUUUCUGUCGCUCUAUUGCUUUUUGCUUGCGCUUCUUGUCGUUUGAUUAUCGACGAUAAAUCGAGAAUCGAUCUAAAUGUUCUAACUUAACCGAUAAUUAAUCAACUAUACUAUACACAUAUCAAACUAAUCAAACAUAAGCGUAAAUAAUCAAAGUAAUUUCAGUUCAUACGCAGCGUAAACUAAAGUUUAUUUGAUUUCAGUCCAAGUUUCGAAAUAGUACAAAUGUGUUUUAUACCAGACAGGAUGAAUAAAAUUCGAUUGACCAAAUUGUA
rnacentral:sRNA from 1 species